AUUGAACGCUGGCGGCAGGCUUAACACAUGCAAGUCGAACGAGUGGCGGACGGGUGAGUAAUGCUUGGGACUCUAGCUUAUGGAGGGGGAUAACUACGGGAAACUGUAGCCAAUACCGCGUACCAUAGGGUGAGCCCAAGUGGGAUUAGGUAGUUGGUGUGGUAAAGGCUCACCUCGGCGACGAUCGCUAGCUGGUCUGAGAGGAUGAUCAGCCACACGGCGACUGAGACACGGCCCAGACUCCUACGGGAGGCAGCAGUGGGGAAGUUGGCACAAUGGGCGCAAGCCUGAUGCAGCCAUGCCGCGUGUAUGAAGAAGGCCUUAGGGUUGUAAAGUACUUUCAGCGGGGAGGCGUUACCCGCAGAAGAAGCACCGGCUAACUCCGUGCCAGCAGCCGCGGUAAUAC
rnacentral:rRNA from 1 species